AUUCCAAGGCGGCCAGGAAUUUGUCCCAGGUGGGUUCGGUAAUUUUGCGCCUGGUGUCCUCAUUGGCGCAGAUGAAUCUUUCGUGGGGGUAGGUUGUACACGUCACUUUUGCUGCCACAGCCGCGAAGGGUUUGACCUCCUUGUUGGAUUGUAGGGCAAUGUCCUCCCCCAGGGCACUGAGGUCAUUCAGUAGCCCCCUAACAUCAAAAAUACUUAUAAUAGAGUAUGAUUUGCCAUAGAUGACUAAUAUACAAUUUAUUUCCAUGUUUCAGACUAUCAUUGCGAGCAAUGCAAAAAAGUUUUUGCAGUUCCUUUUACCAUACAACGUCACUUAAAAGAUACCAAGAACCAUGUUCCAUGUCAAGAGCCUAUCCAUGACCAUCAAUUGCUCCGAGAAGAUUUCGAUGACAUUAACUCUGCUAAGGCUUGGGUUCACAGCAAGGAACUUGACAAAACAUUUUGCAUUUCAAUGUCCAAGCCCAAUUAUGUGAUGUGCCGUUGUCGGCUUCGUCGUUCACAGGCAUCAACCCAAAACUGCCAAAAUCCUAAAUCGCCCAAGAGGAGAAAGACGAUCCCCAAGCCAAUCUACGCCUGUAAUGCGCAAUUUUCUAUUGUCAUGCAACGAACUUGUGUUUGUCAAUCAAGUGGUGGGAGAUCUGAGUGUAAUAACUCACGCCAAAAGUGCCAAUUGCGUGGGUGUACAACUCAUUCUCAUGAGUUCCAGAUCCGUCAAUGCAGAGUAUUGAAAGUUUCCAAAGACAUGUUGAUAACUCUUCUCAAAACUGGCGUUCCUAAGGCAAUCAUCCUGGAGAAGUAUUGCUCUCCCACCGUGUAUGAAAACAUUGAUUAUAAGCUUAUCACGAUACAAGACCUAAGGAAUUUAGAACGUCUUUACGUCGAUCUGGAGAUCGAUAAGAAAUUGUCAGACUUCGAAAAUAUCUGCAAACUGAUGGAGCAGGUAGAUUUUCGCGCAUUUUCCUUUGAAGGACAUGCACACCACCAGGUUCCAAUAACUAUUGAAAACAAGAGGGUGAAAGCGGGGGCACAAGCAUCAUUGUUUAUGCAACGGACUCUAUGCUUGAGCGGUUUCAUCAGAACCCAUGCACUCUUUAUAUUGACGGAACACACGGGACGAACCGAUCGAAGUUCAUUUUAAUCACAUUAAUGGUGAAAGAUGUAAGAGGAGAAGGUGUCCCGAUAUUUCAAGUCAUUCCUGAAUCAGAAUCUACCAACAUCAUUAAAACUGCCUUUAGUGUUUUAAAUCAGGCGGCGCCAGGGGCGGUCAAGAAGGUUCAAGUUUUGAUGUCCAAUUUGGCCGGGGCUUUUGCCAAGGCAUGGCAAGAGACGUUCCCCAAUUACGUUGUCAAACUCGUAAAAUGUGCCUGGCAUGUAGAAAACGCCUGGAAAAAGCAUCUAUUGCCCCAUGAUUCAGAGUUCUUUCAAUGCCUUCGACGUUUGCGCCCCAUUCCAGAGGAAAACGAUUUCUGGAUUUUUUACUACAAAUUACGACAUGAUUAGGAUACUUAAACGAAUGGGUGGACCUAUUUUGAAGAGAAUUAUGGUCCAAACGGAAAAAUUUCAAAACCCAAAGAGUGGGCACGUUGCUUCACUGUUGGUUCUACAGACCAUAACUUGAAUAUCAAACGGUUAGUGUUCCACUGAAAAACUUCAAUUGAAUGAACCUUCAAAAACCUUGUUGUUAUAAUUGUGGCACCUUUAAUCUUGAAAUAUUCAUCCAUCACAGAUACCAUCGAACCAUUAAAGACUUCGGGCUCAAAAGGAGCAAGAGGAUGGACGAAUUGUGUUUCGACUUAAUCAGAGUCGACCAAUGGUAUUGCCGUAAGCAGGCUUAUAUUCGUCAUGGAAUCAGAGGAGCGCACAAACCAUCACGAAUGCAAUUUACGUAAGAGUCUCAACACCCCAAAAAUCUGAAUGAGUAUGAAAUAUCUACCAGUGAAGAAGGUUUUAUUAUCACGUCACAAACCGCAGAAUACUUCUUGCAAAGAAACCAAGUUGGGUGUUCUGAGGCAAACUGUUUGGUGCGUUGUUCCCAAUGUCCCACAAAUAGCUCUUGUGGCCAUUAUUACGUCUGCAAUUGCAUGUCGUAUUCGUUGCACAACUUGUGCAAGCAUUGCCACCUAAUCAGUAUGUCAGAUUUGCCCCCAAUAACAACCCCAAGAAAUGUACUAGCUUGUGGUAGGGCAAACGACCCUGAAAACUGUGAAGAAGGACAGGGAACAGAUGAAGUUGGACAUAGAGCCAACGAUACCGGACAUGGAGCCGAUGAAAUCGGACAUGGAGCCGACGAUACCGGACAUGGAGCCGACGAUACCGGACAUGGAGCCGACGAUGCUAGAGAAGCACAUGAAAAUGCCGGAAUACGAGCCGACAAAAUCGGACAUGGAGCCGACGAUACCGGACUAAGAGCCGAUGAAAAUCAGACAUGGAGCCGACGAUGUCGUUUGUGAGGAAAUUGCUACAGAGGUAUGUUUUCUUGAUAUUAUUUUGAUUUUUAUAAAUAGUCACUAUUUUAUGAAAUACAUUUUCAGGAUCUAGAAGCCAGGCGACUGAAGGCCAUUUCGAUUGCUAGGAAUUUCAUUACACUUCUGGAAAUGGAUCGUCCUUUGAAUGAGAAGAGUCAUGUGAUUCAAGAAUUAGAGGAAGUGAACAAAACAGUGUCCAAUCUUACGCAAGGCAACGUAUUUCCGAAAGCAGAUCAUGGAAGAAAGAGGGAACGUAUUCCUUCAAUUUUUACCCCGCCUAAAUUCAAACAGAAGCGGAAUGCUUUGAAAAGAAAUGCCUAUUCAAGCCCAGCAAGUGAGCUGCUUCAAGAAUGUGAAAACUCUCCGUUGGACAAUCCUUGCUGGAUGUUCUUGCUCACUAUGAACUUCCAAUCAGUUUUCAGUAAGCUUCAUGAAUGCUCCUCCUUCAUUGAAAUUGGAAGCUUUGUGAGAAGUUUGAUUUGGCAAAGAGCAUUUGGAAUGUGUGAAAAAGGUGGCAACUUGAGCAGUAUCAAGCGAAAUCUAAAAGGUUACAUACAAUGCGACCUAUGUGAAAAAUGGUUUCAUGCCGAUUGCGUAGGGGUUGUUGACGUCCGCAACAAUAAAAUAGAAGAAUGCUCUUGGAAAUGUCCCGACCAUGAAAAUUCCACGUAAUGAUCGAUCCCUUGUUCGUUUUUGUAUCCCUUCAAGAAAAUAUAAAAUACUUAAGUUA